rnacentral:rRNA from 1 species
UACAGAGGAGCCAAGCGUUGUCCGGAUUGACUGGGCGUAAAGCGCACGCAGGCGGACGCGCGCGUGGGGUGUGAAAUCUGGCCGCUUAACGGCCAGGCGCCAUCCCAUACGGUGCGUCUGGAGUGAUGCAGAGGUCGGUGGAAUUGCCGGUGUAGUGGUGAAAUGCGUAGAGAUCGGCAGGAACACCCAGGGGGAAACCAGCCGACUGGGCAUCUACUGACGCUGAGGUGCGAGAGCGUGGGGAGCGAACAGG